AUUAUACCCAAACUUAGGAGAAAACACAUAUAUACAAUUUGGAAUUUAAAAAUAAAUAUGAGAUCAGAUAUCAUUACUUUGGUGCGGAUAGAUAUUCACCACUUUUGAUAAUCAUAGAUUCGUAGAUGCUCGAGUCACACACGUGUCCGACCUCUGUGGAUAUCCAUCGGGAUCAAUCUCGAACUGAUUUUUCCUCGUAGAAGACUCUUCUUCCUAAGAAGAAUCUUAACCUUAUGUACUUUGAUCAACACCUUGAUCUGGACUGUGAGAUCAACUCCUUAAUCAGCAGCCUUCUUCUUCUUCUCCUUGAUCUUCACUCUUGAAGAUAAAGCAGCACCUCUUGGCAUGUGGAAAAAGGGGACACCCAACUCUUAGGUAUGGAAGAUAAGAGAGGGGGGAGAGG
rnacentral:lncRNA from 1 species